rnacentral:lncRNA from 13 species
UGCAAUUCAAUCUUUUGAAAAAGCCCCUGGUAGUGACAUUGACAAGAGACACUAUGCAUGUAGCACUGCUGCAGAGGGAGAAGAAGAGAGAGUCCGAGAAAGAGAGAGAGGAAAGAGAGGGAUAUACAUACAUACAGUGCCUUGCGAAAGUAUUCGGCCCCCCUUGAACUUUGCGACCUUUUGCCACAUUUCAGGCCUCAAACAUAAAGUUAUAAAACUGUAUUUUUUUGUGAAGAAUCAACAACAAGUGGGACACAAUCAUGAAGUGGAACGACAUUUAUUGGAUAUUUCAAACUUUUUUAACAAAUCAAAAACUGAAAAAUUGGGCGUGCAAAAUUAUUCAGCCCCCUUAAAUUAAUACUUUGUAGCGCCACCUUUUGCUGCGAUUACAGCUGUAAGUCGCUUGGGAUAUGUCUCAAUCAGUUUUGCACAUCGAGAGACUAACAUUUUUUCCCAUUCCUCCUUGCAAAACAGCUCGAGCUCAGUGAGGUUGGAUGGAGAGCAUUUGUGAACAGCAGUUUUCAGUUCUUUCCACAGAUUCUCGAUUGGAUUCAGGUCUGGACUUUGACUUGGCCAUUCUAACACCUGGAUAUGUUUAUUUUUGAACCAUUCCAUUGUAGAUUUUGCUUUAUGUUUUGGAUCAUUGUCUUGUUGGAAGACAAAUCUCCGUCCCAGUCUCAGGUCUUUUGCAGACUCCAUCAGGUUUUCUUCCAGAAUGGUCCUGUAUUUGGCUCCAUCCAUCUUCCCAUCAAUUUUAACCAUCUUCCCUGUCCCUGCUGAAGAAAAUCAGGCCCAAACCAUGAUGCUGCCACCACCAUGUUUGACAGUGGGGAUGGUGUGUUCAGCUGUGUUGCUUUUACGCCAAACAUAACGUUUUGCAUUGNNNNNNNNNNGCACGGGUGGUGGGUCACCAAAGGCUGACCUUACCCCAGCAGAGGACAUGGCCUUGGAGCUAAAUAAAGGCAGGCCCGUCUUAGAGGGGAUCCCUGGGGGGAAAGAGACGAGCAUAGGUUCCUCCCAAGAUGCCACCCGCUUCAUUCAAGUGUCUGGCAGCACUGUGUUCCUGUUAGAGCCACCAGCACAAGCACCAGACGAUGCUGAUCCAGGUGAAGGCCCCAGUGCAGCAGCAACAGCACAUGAUGGAGACGAUGAUGAUGAGGAGACCAUCUCUCUGGAUUCCAGAAGGCAUGAGGACCCAGAUGCUAUACAGUGGGAAAACCAGCCUGGCAACAUAAGCUCACAAGCUAUCAGAAAGUUGUAUGGCAACCACCUCCGGUGCCAAAUAGAACUGGCAGACAUAGACAUUCAGUACAAGAAGAAAAAGAUGGAAAAUCUUGCACUGGAGUUCGAAAUAAAAAAGAGGACAAUUAGGAAACUGGACCUUGAAAUAAAAAAACUUGAGAGGGAGGUGAGAUAUGCCUUCAAUGUACANNNNNNNNNNCCUGCCUGGUGUGUUCCUUGUUCUUCAUGAUGCUCUCUGCGCUUUUAACGGACCUCUGAGACUAUCACAGUGCAGGUGCAUUUAUACGGAGACUUGAUUACACACAGGUGGAUUGUAUUUAUCAUCAUUAGUCAUUUAGGUCAACAUUGGAUCAUUCAGAGAUCCUCACUGAACUUCUGGAGAGAGUUUGCUGCACUCAAAGUAAAGGGGCUGAAUAAUUUUGCACGCCCAAUUUUUCAGUUUUUGAUUUGUUAAAAAAGUUUGAAAUAUCCAAUAAAUGUCGUUCCACUUCAUGAUUGUGUCCCACUUGUUGUUGAUUCUUCACAAAAAAAUACAGUUUUAUAUCUUUAUGUUUGAAGCCUGAAAUGUGGCAAAAGGUCGCAAAGUUCAAGGGGGCCGAAUACUUUCGCAAGGCACUGUAUAUAUAUUGAAGAUUCUUCAAAGUAUCAACCCUUUGUCUUGAUGACACCUUUGCACACUCUUGGCAUUCUCUCAACCAGCUUCAUGAGGUAGUCACCUGGAAUCCAUUUAAAUUAACAGGUUUGCCUUGUUAAAAGUUAAUUUGUGGCAUUUAUUUUCUUCUUAAUGCGUUUGAGCCAAUCAGUUGUGUUGUGACAAGGUAGGUGUGGUAUACAGAAUAUAGCUCUAUUUGGUAAAAGACCAAAUCCAUAUUAUGGCAAGAACAGCUCAAAUAAGCAAAGAGAAGUCAAUCAUUAAUUUAAGACGUGAAGGUCAGUCAAUGCAUAAAAUUUCAAGAACUUAGAAAGUUUCUUCAAGUGCAGUCGCAAAAACCAUCAAGCGCUAUGAUGAAACUGGCUCUCACGAGGACCGCCACAGGAAAGGAAGACCCAGAGUUACCUCUGCUGCAGAGGAUAAGUUCAUUAGAGUUAGCUGCACCUCAGAUUGCAUCCCAAAUAAAUGCUUCACGGAGUUCAAGUAACAGACACAUCUCAACAUCAACUGUUCAGAAGAGACUUUGUGAAUCAGGCCUUCAUAGUCGAAUUGCUGCAAAGAAACCACCACUGAAGGACACCAAUAAUAAGAAGAGACUUGCUUGAGCCAAGUAACACAAGCAAUGGAUAUUAGACUGGUGGAAAUCUGUCUUUGGUCUGAUGAGUCCAAAUAUGAGAUGUUUUGAUCCAGCAGCCGUGUCUUUGUGAGACGCGGAGUAGGUGAACGGAUGAUCUCCACAUGUGUUGUUCAAGGCACACUUAACCAGCAUUGCUACCACAGCAUUCUGCAGCGAUAUGCCAUCCCAUCUGAUUUGCGCUUAGCAGGACUGUAUCAUUUGUUUUUCAACAUGACAAUGACCCAACACACCUCCAGUCUGUGUAAAGGCUAUUUGAUCAAGAAGGAGAGUGACGGAGUGCUGCAUCAAUUGGGAUGGUUUGAGAUGAAUUGGACCGCAGAGUGAAGGAAAAAAAAUCCAACAAGUGCUCAGCAUAUGUGGAAACUCCAUCAAGACUGUUGGAAAAUAAUUCCUUAAUGAAGCUGGUUGAGAGAAUGCCUAUAGUGUGUAAAGCAGUCAUACACCUUAGCCAAAUACAUUUAAACUCAGUUUUUCACAAUUCCUGACAUUUAAUCCUUGUAAAAAUUAUCUGUCUUAGGUAAAUUAGUAUCAUCACUUUAUUUUAAGAAUGUGAAAUGUCAGAAUAAUAUUAGAGAGAAUGAUUUAUUUAAGCUUGUAUUUCUUUCAGCACAUUCCCAGUGGGUCAGAAGUUUACAUGCACUCAAUUAUUAUUUGGUAGCAUUGCCUUUAAAAUGUUUAACUUGGUUCAAACAUUUCAGGUAGCCUUCCACAGGCUUCCCACAAUAAGUUGAGUGAAUUCUGGCCCAAUUCUCCUGACAGAGCUGGUGUAACUGAGUCAGGUUUGUAGGCCUCCUUGCUUCUCACACUUUUUCAGUUCUGGCCACACAUUUUCUACAGGAUUGAGGUUAGGGCUUUGUGAUGGCCACUCCAAUACCUUGACUUUGUUGUCCUUAAGCCAUUUUGCCACAACUUUGGAACUAUGCUUGAGGUCAUUGUGCAUUUGGAAGACCCAUUUGCUACCAAGCUUUAACUUGAUGUUGCUUCAAUAUAUCCACAUCAUUUUUCUCCCUCAUGAUGCCAUCUGUUUUGUGAAGUGCACCAUUUCCUCCUGCAGCAAAGCACCCCCACAACAUGAUGCUGCCACCCUCGUGCUUCACGUUUGAGAAGGUGUUCUUCGGCUUGCAAGCCUCCCCCUUUUCCCCCAAACAUAAUAAUGGUCAUUUAUGGCCAAACAGUUCUAUUUUUGUUUCAUCAGACCAGAGGACCUUUCUCCAAAAAGUACGAUCUUUGUCCCUAUGUUCAGUUGCAAACUGUAGUCUGGCUUUUUUAUGGCGGUUUUGGAGCAGUGGCUUCUUCCUUGCUGAGCGGCCUUUCAGGUUGUGUCGAUAUAGGACUCGUUUUACUGUGGAUAUAAAUUAUUUUGUACCUGUUUCCU